rnacentral:rRNA from 1 species
CCUACGGGUGGCAGCAGUGAGGAAUAUUGGUCAAUGGCCGGAAGGCUGAACCAGCGAUGCCGCGUGAAGGUCAGUGCCCUAUGGGCGUUAAACUUCUGUUGUGCGGGAGCAAUAAUGGGCACGUGUGGCCAGACGAGAGUACCGUACGAGUAAGCAUCGGCUAACUCCGUGCCAGCAGCCGCGGGAAUACGGGGGAUGCAAGCGUUAUCCGGAUUUAUUGGGUUGAAAGGGUGCGUAGGCGGGGAGGUAAGUCAGCGGGGGAAGGCCCCCGCUCAACGGGGUGAAGUGCCAUUGAUACUGCCUUGCUGGAAUGCGGAUGACGUGGGAGGAAUGUGUGGUGUAGCGGUGAAAUGCAUAGAUAGCA